ensembl:lncRNA CCDC26 CCDC26 long non-coding RNA
GCUACAGUGCUACUGGCCCAUAAUCAGGCAACUGCAGAGUCUUAGGGGGUUAUCUAAUGUAGUCUUGGGGUGGCUGGAUAGACUUCCCAAAGAAGGUGAUGCCGAAGCUGAGGUCGGAAAUUACGAAGAUCAGCUAUCAAACUUGGAAAUCAUGUCUUAGAGAUCAAGGAGCCAAGAGAUGAGACAAGCCUGGGUUCCUAGGUGAUAGGGUGUGGCUGUGUCCCCACCCAAAUCUCGUCUUGAAUUGUAGCUCCCAUAAUCCCCACAUGUUGUGGAGGGACCCUGUGGAAGGUAAUUGAAUUAUGGAGGAAGGCCUGAGGAGAGAAGACACAUAGUCAUGCUGACUAAACCAGAUCACCUAGAAUUACCAAAUGGAAAGGCUACACAGAAGCACUGCUGAUUUCAGCCCUGGCAGGACUCCUGUUUAAACAUACUUCCCAGAAAUCUUGGGCAGCUUGCCAUGGCAUUGUGUUAAGAAAAGGAUUGGUAGACAGAGAGAUGCACUGUUGAGAUUACCCUUCAGGAAGGACUUGCUACCGACUACAGGGGACAGGAAUCAGCAGACAUCCUCCAGCCAUCAGCUUCUUCAGGAUCUACCUCAGCGUCAAGGAACCACCUGACCUGAGGUCUCAUUCUUCCUUGGGCAGACUACAUCUUAUAACAAAGUGAGAUGUACCCAUAGGGUCAAGCUCCAGCACAGAGACCCAUCCUGGGAUGCAGGACUUGGUGCCAGGGAAGUCCCAGCAUCUACUUGUUUCCAAAGUUAUUUGGGUCAGCAUUUUCCUCCACCCACCACUUAAAACUGAUUUGUUUCAUACAUUUGAAAUGUAUGAAAAGCCAGAAAUCCAGGACCCACCCUGGCCUGCUCCCUUUUUCUCACCUACUGUGUUAAGGAUAAGUCAAUUGAGCUUCACUUCUCUAAUUGAAAUCACCGUGCUGAUGGAGUCUGUCUGUGGAAAUGAAAGGUGGCUACCAUAAUCUGUUGGGAGUUGAAUUAAUCCUCUGGGAGUGAGGCUGACCUAAUUACUCAGAAAUACUGGGCUUGCUUUCAUUCUGUGGAAUACAGCCAUGAGAAAGAGGCCAGCAUGCCAUUUCCUAAUCUUUUCUUGAAUUGCCUGAAACUCACCUAACAUGAAACUGAGAAGCCUUUUCAUUUGAAAGUGGUAUUUCUUAUGUUUUUUAUCUUUUUGCUUGAAAGUAUUCUUAAACUAAAGAAAGGAGAAACAGAAAAGGUGAAGAAGCCAAGAGGCUGGAGUUUCCUUUUGAAUGGAUAUUCAUCCAUGAAGCUGUUGAUUCUGUUUUUCUGUUCCUCCAGAUGUCUACACUUUUACCUCUGCUUGCCUGAUACAACCACCACCAGUCACCUCACAGAAUAACUCACUCCUUAAGAAUCUGAUCAGGAAUCAGCCUUCCCUGAUCACAAACACUGAGUUUAGAAGUCCCUCCACAGUGUCCCCCGUAACCCUGUGCUACCUCACUGCCUCAUAGUUUAGUGCCGUUUGUGUACAUGCCUAUCUUCGUCCAUGGAUCCAGAACAACUUGUAAAAAUGACUGUACUUAUCACCUUCAGUAUUCAAUGACUAAACUAUAAUUUUAACAUAUCUGGCAGAAUGAAUCACUUGGGGAUUUCUGCCAACACUACCAAUAUAUUACUCCUAAUUUGUAAUUAUUACUUAGCAUGGAUUAUAGUACCGGCUGUUGGAGAGCCAAUGUGGCAGACCCUAAGUGGAAUAAAAUGUCAGUAGCAGUCUAGGAGCAUAUAUUUAUUGGAAUAGAUCAUUCAUUCAUUUGUUCAUUAACUAAUUUGUUCAUUAAAUAAACAUUUAUUAAGCAC